AGCCCCUGGCAACGGGAAAAGAAACACCUUGGUGUUGGUGGUGUUGUUCUUGUAUCGGUGAGGGGCAGAGCAGAUGGCAGUCCUUUGUUCAUCCUAGCUUGAUGGGUAGCUUGAUGGCCGAAGUCCUUGUAUGCCUAGGUCUCAUAA